UGAAUGACUCUCGGCAACGGAUAUCUCGGCUCUCGCAUCAAUGAAGAACGUAGCGAAAUGCGAUACUUGGUGUGAAUUGCAGAAUCCCGUGAACCAUCGAGUCUUUGAACGCAAGUUGCGCCCCAAGCCUUUAGGCCGAGGGCACGCCUGCCUGGGUGUCACACA
rnacentral:rRNA from 1 species